rnacentral:rRNA from 1 species
UGCAAGUCGCACGAGAAUUACGUAGCAAUACGUAUAGUAAAGUGGCGGAAGGGUGAGGAAUGGGUAGAUUACGUACCCAGGAGAUGGGCAUAACGGCUCGAAAGGGCCGCUAAUACCCGAUAAGACCACGGCAACGCGGUCAAAGGCUGGGGAUCUUCGGACCUAGCGCUCUUGGAUCGGUCUGCUUCCUACCAGCUUGUUGGUGAGGUAACGGCUCACCAAGGCUACGACGGGUACCCGGGCUGAGAGGCUGACCGGGCACAUCGGCACUGAGACACUGGCCGGACACCUACGGGUGGCUGCAGUUCGGAAUAUUCGGCAAUGGACGAAAGUCUGACCGAGCGACGCCGCGUGCGGGAUGAAGGCCCUAUGGGUUGUAAACCGCUUUCGCGAUUAAGUAAAUCAUGCAGGUUUAACAAACCGGUAUGUUGAAUAAGGAUCGUAAAGAAGCCCCCGCUAAUCACGUGCCAGCAGCGGCGGUAAUACGUGAGGGGCGAACGUUGUUCGGUGUCACUGGGCUUAAAGGGUGCGUAGGUGGUUGCGUAAGUAAGGUGUGAAAUCCCUCGGCUUACCCGGGGAAUUGCAUUUUAUACUGCGUGGCUUGAGGACUAAAGGGGAAAAGGGAACUCCAGGUGUAGCGGUGAAAUGCGCAGAUAUCUGGGGGAAGGCCGGCGGCGAAGGCGCUUUUCUGGUUAGUACCUGACACUGAGGCACGAAAGCGUGGGGAGCAAACAGGAUUAGAUACCCUGGUAGUCCACGCCCUAAACUAUGGAUACUACUUAGAAGGUCCUGCAAGGGACUUUUUAACGGAGCAAAAGCGUUAAGUAUCCCGCCUGGGGAGUAUGGUCGC